rnacentral:lncRNA from 1 species
UUUAAAGGCAAAUGAUUUUCUAGUCCAUUCAGGAACCAGUGCUGCAGUACGUCAAAGCUAGAAGCUCUAUAUUUCUACAUUAACAGGUAAGUUCAGAGACAGACAAAUCCAGCUCUAUAUUUCUACAUUCACAGGAAGUUCAGAGAUAAAUGCAGCCCUAUAUUUCUACUUCACAGGAAACUCAUGUAGCUUUUGCUGAGAUUUAAGACAGCAGGUUCGUUCCUUGCUGGCCAAAUAGGUGGCUUCCUGAAACAGAAACUAUUGCCAUAGCUUAGUAGAAUGGC